AGAGACUUAAGGGAGCUCAGUCUCCAAAGCAGAGCUUCAGCAAGCACAGUGGGAAUCCGCACCAUGCCCUGGGCUCUGCUCCUCCUGACCCUCCUCACUCACUCUGCAGUGCCAGUGGUCCAGGCAGGGCUGACUCAGCCACCCUCAGUGUCCAAGGGCUUGAGACAGACGGCCACACUCACCUGCACUGGGAGCAGCAACAAUGUUGGCAACCAGGGAGCAGCUUGGCUGCAGCAGCACCAGGGCCACCCUCCCAAACUGCUAUCCUACAGGAAUAACAACCGGCCAUCAGGGAUCUCAGAGAGAUUCUCUGCAUCCAGGUCAGGAAACACAGCCUCCCUGACGAUCACUGGACUCCAACCUGAGGAUGAGGCUGACUAUUACUGCUCAGCAUGGGACAGCAGCCUUAGUGCUCAUGUGUUCGGAAGUGCCACCAGCACUGGGGGUGGUUUUCAUGUCAAUGAGUAUCAGCAGUUCCCUGGAAUGGCUCUAAAACUCCUCAUCUAUGAAAACAGCCAUUGGCCUUUAGGGUCCUGUCCUUGGCUCACAGGCUUCACUGAGCACUUCUGGGCUCCAGUCUGGGGAUAA